AUUGAACGCUGGCGGCAGUCCUAACACAUGCAAGUCGAACGAGUGGCGGACGGGUGAGUAAUGUCUGGGAAACUGCCGGAUGGAGGGGGAUAACUACUGGAAAAGGUAGCUAAUACCGCAUACAAACGGAUGUGCCCAGCGGGGAUUAGAUAGUAGGUGGGGUAACGGCUCACCUAGGCGACGAUCCCUAGCUGGUCUGAGAGGAUGACCAGCCACACUGGAACUGAGACACGGUCCAGACUCCUACUGGAGGCAGCAGUGGGGAAUAUUGCACAAUGGGCGCAAGCCUGAUGCAGCCAUGCCGCGUGUAUGAAGAAGGCCUUCGGGUUGUAAAGUACGUUCAGCGGGGAGGCGUUACCCGCAGAAGAAGCACCGGCUAACUCCGUGCCAGCAGCCGGAGUAAUUC
rnacentral:rRNA from 1 species